GGCCUUGUGACCCAAUGGAUAAGGCGCCUUACUACGGAUCAGGAGAUUCCAGGUUCGAGUCCUGGCAGGGUCG
rfam:Nematostella vectensis strain CH2 x CH6 NEMVEscaffold_7400_Cont53098, whole genome shotgun sequence.